rnacentral:tRNA from 1 species
GGUAAGAUGGCUGAGAUAAGCGGUGGAUUGUAGCCCCAUAGACAGAGGUUUAAGCCCUCUUCUUACCA